rnacentral:rRNA from 1 species
GUAUAUUAAUGUUGUUGCAGUUAAAAAGCUCGUAGUUGGAUUUCUGGUCGGAACGCUGGUCCGGCUCCGCAAGGGGUCGUGCACUGGUUUCUCCGUCCAUCCUCAGGGGUAGCUGCACUGGUAUUCAUUUAUCGGUGUGGUGACGCCUGUCGUUUACUGUGAACAAAUUAGAGUGUUCAAAGCAAGGUUUACUUGAAUACAUUAGCAUGGAAUAAUAAGAUAGGACUUUGGUGGUUCUUUUUGAUAUUUUGUUGGUUUGCACGCCAAAGCAAUGAUUAAUAGGAGCAGUUGGGGGUAUUCGUAUUCAAUUGUCAGAGGUGAAAUUCUUGGAUUUAUAGAAGACGAACUACUGCGAAAGCAUUUACCAAGGAUGUUUUCAUUAAUCAAGAACGAAAGUUAGGGGAUCGAAGAAGAUUAGAUACCUUCGUAGUCCUAACCAUAAACUAUGCCGACUCGGGAUUGGCGGUCGUUUUUUACCGACUCCGUCAGCACCGUAUGAGAAAUCAAAGUCUUUGGGUUCCGGGGGGAGUAUGGUCGCAAGGCUGAAACU